UGCGACAGAAUCUCCAGUCACCGGGGAGAUGAACUCUGACACUCCCCUGGGUUAUCUGGAUUCUACUAAUUGCUGUGGAAAGGCCCAUCUUAAUUGUGAGUGGCACUGACCCCUGGGCUGAGUAUCCUGGACUGUAGGAGACAGAGAAAGAGCACUGAGCAUUAACACGGGCGUUCACUGCUCUCUUCUGACCUUAGAUGCACUGUGCCCAGCUGUUUUCAAGCUCCUGAGGCCUUGACUUCCCCUGCAUGAUGGACUAUAACCGGGACUGUGAGCCGAAGUUAGCCCUUUCUCCCUGAAGUUACUUUUGCCAGAGCAUUUUAUCACAGGAAAAGAGACUAAGGUGUCAUGUUGGGUACCUCAGCGCUGCCCAUUAGAAGGUUCUUGUAUUCUGCACUGCGGCCACAGGAUGGCGCUGCUGCUCAAGUCAGGAAAACACAGCCAGCUCCAGGGCUGCAAUUCAGUGCAUCAGAUACCCUUUAAAAAAAGCUCAACCAAACCUCUGAGAUGUCAGCUUUGACAGUGAACGCUGCAGAAGUCAUGAUGCUUCUCCCCCUUUCGCCUCUCACGUUAGGAAGCGUGUGCCCUUUGUCAUGUUGCUUCUUUCCUGCUUCUGGACGGCUUGUGUUCUCUACCUUAUGAUUUAUGUGUCCUUUGCUGUGAGCUGUUCCACUCACAGAGGAGGGAAGUGGGCAGAGGCUGAACUGAAGAUGGACGAUUAUAAAUCACAAGGAAAUGCCUUCACCAAAACUAUGAGCUGCAGGGACAGGAUGGGAGUGUGUCUGCCCUUCCCUCUCUCAAAGUCUGGCUCUGCCUCUGGCUUGCUGAGCUUGCAUGGAAGCUCCAUGGUGGUUUUCUCUGUGGUGUUGCGGGCAACGGCUCUUUUAAGUUUAGUUAUAUUAUUUACUUAUUGUGCAUGAAUGUGUGUGUGUAUGGUAUGUGUGGAUGGUGCAUGUGCAUGUGUGUAUGAGGGAUAGUGUGCACCCUCAUGUACAUGUAUGGAGGCCGGAGGAGGAUGUUGGGUGUUGCGCUCUAUCUCUGUCUGCCUUAUUUCCCAGAGACAGGGUCUCUCACCAGACCUGGAGCUAGGCUGGCAACUGGCAAACCCCAGUGAUCCUCAUCUCGACACCCCUCCUAGUGACAGGGUUUAUAGGUGCAUGUGAGGCCACAUGUAGCUGUUCAGUUAUAUGUCCAUGCGCUUGUAUGUCUGUGGGUCUGGGCAUAUAAGUGUGCUUGUGAAGGACAGAAGAGUGCCUGAUGUCCUGGAGCUGGACUCAGAGUUGCUUGUGAGCCAGCUGCUGUGGGUACUGGGGCUGGGACUCUGGUCCUCUGUAGCAGCAGUGCUCUUAGCUGUUGAGUCACUUCUCUUGUCCUUAUACCCAGCCUUUUUGUGGGAGCUGAGGAUUCGGGUCCUGAUGCUUGCACACCGCUCACUCUUACUGCCCAUGUCCUUCUCUGUCUUGAAUCCUCCACACCAUCCACACCCUACUUUGGUCUGGAUUGUCCUCCUGACCCUUCAACUCUCAGUGAAUGGCCAGCAGUUCAGAGCACACCACGGGUUUCCCCAACCCCACUGACUGCUCUGCCUGUAGAGCUGAGGUGAUGACCCUUCGAAGCCAAUACUCACUCUCUUUGUGUCUCACACGCAAGCCGCUCCUCCCAUCCAAAGAGGGGAUCUUUUUCUCAUCCUUACGGAACCAGUUCAGGCAGCAUCAAAUUCUUGAUCCUCCUGCUUCGGCUUCCUGAGUGCGGGAUUGCAGAUGUGUGCCACCAUGCUUAGAUAUGGAGUGGCCUGGUCUGAACUUUGACAGAGGGCUCCAGAAUGCACCUUAACCACCCUGUCACUUGGCUUCCUAUGGACUCAGUUUUCAUCUCUGCAAAGGGGAUACCAGUGUCCACUUCCCAGAACUGUGACAGUAGGUAGUUUGACAACGCCUGGCAUGUUGUAGCUUCCAGUAAAUCCCAGCUCACUGGGACAAAAUAGGUAGCAGGGCUGGACAUGGGAUCACAUGACUGCAGUCUCAGCAUGCAGGAAAACAAGGCAGGUUCAAAGCCAGCCUGAGCUAUAUAGGAAGAUCCUG